rnacentral:rRNA from 1 species
GAUGAACGCUGGCGGCGUGCCUAAUACAUGCAAGUCGAGCGAACAGAUGAGGAGCUUGCUCCUCUGACGUUAGCGGCGGACGGGUGAGUAACACGUGGAUAACCUACCUAUAAGACUGGGAUAACUUCGGGAAACCGGAGCUAAUACCGGAUAAUCUAUUGAACCGCAUGGGUCAAUAGUGAAAGACGGUGUUGCUGUCACGUAUAGAUGGAUCCGCGCCGGAUUAGCUAGUUGGUAAGGUAACGGCUUACUAAGGCAACGAGGGGUUGCCGACCUGACGGGGUGAUAGCCCACCUGGGAGGUGAGCCACGGUCCUGACUCCUACGGGACGCCGCAGUCGGGUACCUUCCGCAGUGGGCGAAAGCCUGACGCAGCGGCGCCGCGCGUGUGAUGACGGCCUUCGGAGCGUAAUGCUCUGUUAUUAGUGAUGAACAAAUUUGGAAGUAACCAUGGACGUCUUGACGGUACCUAAUCAGAAAGCCACGGCUAACUACGUG